CCUACGGGUGGCAGCAGUGGGGAAUAUUGGGCAAUGGGCGCAAGUCUGACCCAGCAACGCCGCGUGAAGGAUGAAGGUUUUCGGGUUGUAAACUUCUUUUCUCAGGGAUGAAGCAAGUGACGGUACCUGAGGAAUAAGCCACGGCUAACUACGUGCCAGCAGCCGCGGUAAUACGUAGGUGGCAAGCGUUAUCCGGAUUUACUGGGUGUAAAGGGCGUGUAGGCGGUGACGCAAGUCAGAUGUGUAAUCCACGGGCUCAACCUGUGGCCUGCAGUUGAAACUGUGUUUCUUGAGUACUGGGGAGGCAGACGGAAUUCCUAGUGUAGCGGUGAAAUGCGUAGAUAUUAGGAGGAACACCAGUGGCGAAGGCGAUCUACUGGACAGCAACUGACGCUGAGGCACGAAAGCGUGGGGAGCAAACAGGAUUAGAUACCCGGGUAGUC
rnacentral:rRNA from 1 species